rnacentral:rRNA from 1 species
CAAGUCGAACGAAUCCCGUCUCUCACCCUGCCCUUUCUCGCAAGAGCGAGGGUGCGGUGAGGGACGGGGAAAGUGGCGAAAGGGGCAGUAAUGCGUGGGUAACCUACCUCGGGGACGGGGAUAGCCUUCCUAACGGAAGGGUAAUACCUGGCGAUUCGGCGAGAGGACAUCCUCAUGCCGGGAAAUGAGUUUCGCCUCGGGAGGGGCUCACGUGAUAUUAGCUAGUUGGUGAGGUAAUGGCUCACCAAGGCAAAGAUGUCUAGCGGGUGUGAGAGCACGACCCGCGCCACUGGCACUGAGACACUGGCCAGACACCUACGGGUGGCUGCAGUCGAGGAUCUUCGGCAAUGGGCGCAAGCCUGACCGAGCGACGCCGCGUGUGCGAUGAAGGCCUUCGGGUUGUAAAGCACUGUCGAGGGGGAGGAAGCCGCAAGGUUGACCUAUCCCUGGAGGAAGCACGGGCUAAGUUCGUGCCAGCAGCCGCGGUAAGACGAACCGUGCGAACGUUGUUCGGAAUCACUGGGCUUAAAGGGCGCGUAGGCGGGUUUUCAAGUCUGUGGUGAAAUCCUCCAGCUUAACUGGAGAAGUGCCGUGGAUACUGGGGACCUCGAGGUGGGUAGGGGCAUCUGGAACAGCCGGUGGAGCGGUGAAAUGCGUUGAUAUCGGCUGGAACUCCGAUGGCGAAGGCAAGGUGCUGGACCCUCUCUGACGCUGAGGCGCGAAAGCCAGGGAGCGAACGGGAUUAGAUACCCCGGUAGUCCUGGCCCUAAACGAUGAGAACUAGGUAGUGGACUUACAUGGGUUCACUGUCGAAGCAAAAGUGCUAAGUUCUCCGCCUGGGGAGUAUGGUCGCA